rnacentral:rRNA from 1 species
AUUGAACGCUGGCGGCAUGCUUUACACAUGCAAGUCGAACGGCAGCGCGGGCUUCGGCCUGGCGGCGAGUGGCGAACGGGUGAGUAAUACAUCGGAACGUGCCCAGUAGUGGGGGAUAGCUCGGCGAAAGCCGGAUUAAUACCGCAUACGACCUGAGGGUGAAAGCGGGGGAUCUUCGGACCUCGCGCUAUUGGAGCGGCCGAUGGCAGAUUAGCUAGUUGGUGGGGUAAAGGCCUACCAAGGCGACGAUCUGUAGCUGGUCUGAGAGGACGACCAGCCACACUGGGACUGAGACACGGCCCAGACUCCUACGGGAGGCAGCAGUGGGGAAUUUUGGACAAUGGGCGAAAGCCUGAUCCAGCAAUGCCGCGUGUGUGAUGAAGGCCUUCGGGUUGUAAAGCACUUUUGGCGGGAACGAAAAGGACUGUGCCAAUACCACGAUUCGAUGACGGUACCCGCAGAAUAAGCACCGGCUAACUACGUG